rnacentral:rRNA from 1 species
GGCAGACGGGUGAGUAACACGUGGGAACGUACCCUUCGGUUCGGAAUAACUCAGGGAAACUUGAGCUAAUACCGGAUACGUCCGAGAGGAGAAAGAUUUAUCGCCGAAGGAUCGGCCCGCGUCUGAUUAGCUAGUUGGUGAGGUAAUGGCUCACCAAGGCGACGAUCAGUAGCUGGUCUGAGAGGAUGAUCAGCCACAUUGGGACUGAGACACGGCCCAAACUCCUACGGGAGGUAGCAGUGGGGAAUAUUGGACAAUGGGCGCAAGCCUGAUCCAGCCAUGCCGCGUGAGUGAUGAAGGCCUUAGGGUUGUAAAGCUCUUUUACCUGGGAAGAUAAUGACGGUACCAGGAGAAUAAGCCCCGGCUAACUUCGUGCCAGCCGCCGCGG